rnacentral:lncRNA from 1 species
CAAAAGGAAAGUUCAAGUGCUAAAAUAGGUAAUAGGUGAUACAAGUACUUCCUAAAACUCAAUUCUCCUGCCAAUAUCCGCAAAAGCUGUAUACUUCUCUUCAGCAAUGUCUCUGACCAGGAGGUAAACAGUGGAGUAAGAGGGAAGAUGCAAAACUGUUCAACUCGUAUCACAAAUUCUUGAUUUUCUCUUACAUUCCUGAUUCCUGCUCACCUUAGGAAAAACCAUCCUUCAUCGUAGAAAGAAUAAUUAUGUGACAACUAAGCUUGGGAAUGGAACAAGCAGAUGUUUACAGAAAAUGAAGUCAUUUUCCUGGAGGAUGGCAGGACCAUGUAUUUUCUCAACUUUGCAAGCAAUCAUGGAAAAUCUCAAAAUGUGUCUCCCGUUGAACUGAAAUUUAAACCAGAUCUUCAAAGAGAAACCUACUUAAAAUGUAAAGGAAUAAGACCAGAUACCAAUAGUAGGUGAAUGGUU